CCUACGGGCGGCAGCAGUGAGGAAUAUUGGUCAAUGGGCUUAAGCCUGAACCAGCAAAGUCGCGUGAGGGAAGACUGCCCUAUGGGUUGUAAACCUCUUUUGUCAGGGAGCAACGCCGGCUACGUGUAGCCGGACUGAGAGUACCUGAAGGAAAAGCCUCGGCUAACUCCGUGCCAGCAGCCGCGGUAAUACGGAGGAUGCGAGCGUUAUCCGGAUUUAGUGGGGUUAAAGGGGGCGUGGGCGGAAUGCCAAGUCAGCGGUAAAAUCGCGGGGCUCAACCUCGCUCCGCCGUUGAUACUGGCGUUCUUGAGUGGACUAGAGGUAGGCGGAAGGCGUGGUGUAGCGGUGAAAUGCAUAGAUAUCACGCAGAACUCCGAUUGCGAAGGCAGCAUACCGGCGCCCAACUGACGCUGAAGCACGAAAGCGUGGGUAUCGAACAGGAUUAGAUACCCCUGUAGUC
rnacentral:rRNA from 1 species